ACUCGAGUCUUUGACGCAGUUGCGCCCGAAGCCAUUAGGUUGAGGGCACGCCUGCCUGGGUGUCACAUGUGGUCACCACUAAUGCAAUUGUGCAUUGAGGUGUAAGUUGGCUUCCCUCGAGAAAGUCCUCGUGGUUGGUCGAAAACUCAGUUAACGGUACAGUCACCUGCGAUUAAUGGUGGAUGAGAAACUCUCGAGACCAGUCAUUGCUGGGGUACUCUGGGCGUUCUAAUUGAUUGACUCCACCGGGGCCUUUGGAAAUUACAAUGAAGGACUUAUUGGAACCUCCAGGCAGGGGGGGCUACCCGCUGAAUUUAAACAUAUCAAUAAACGGAAGAAAAAAAACUAACAAGGAUUCCCUUAAUAACGGCCAACGAACCGGGAACAGCCCACCCUGAAAAUCCAUCGCCUUUGGUGGUCCAAUUGGAAUCGA
rnacentral:rRNA from 1 species